rnacentral:misc_RNA from 1 species
GGAAGGAUCAUUGUUGAUAUUUUUGUAAAUAAAACCAAUUGUGUUGAUUCCUUUAUUGGAAAUUAAGCUUUUAAAGCUUUUUGAAUCUUUUGGGAAUUGAUUGUUGAUUCCCAAACGAUAUAAAUACUAUUUUUUAAAUCAUGAUGUAAAUGCCAAUUAGAGAAUAUACAACUUUUAACAGUGGAUCUCUUGGCUCGUGGAUCGAUGAAGAACGCAGCGAACUGCGAUACGUAAUGUGACAUGCAGGUUGUGAAUCAUUGAAUCUUUGAACGCAAGUGGCGGUUUUUGGGCAACUGAAAACCAUGCCUGGUUGAGCAUCGCAAACACCAAUAAAAGCUUGGCUUUUAUCCAAAUGAAGAGUCGUUGUUUUUGGAUAGCGUCUUUUUGAAUGUAGGGACAUUUACUCUUUGCUUACUUGUUCAGCAUUGAGCCAAGUAUUUUAAUACUUAUCAAAUUGCUUAUCAGCACCUUUUCGGAGUUGAUUUGCAAUUGUGGUAGGAAUUUUUAAUUGGCAAAGGCGAGCGUGAUAGUAAACAAUGAUUAGUCCAGAGUGCAGCCAAUUGGUUGCCUCAACCAAUAGUUUGAUCUCAGCUCAGGCAAGAGUACCCGCUGAACUUAAGCAUAUUAAUAAGCGGAGGAAAAGAAACUAACAAGGAUUCCCCUAGUAACGGCGAGUGAAGCGGGAAGAGCUCAAAUUUUAAAGCUCUGUCCUUUUGGGCAGCGCAUUGUAAUUUAAAGAUUACGUUUUCUAUGAGCAAUACCAGGUCAAUCCAAGUCUGUUUGGAAUACGGCAUCGUAGAGGGUGACAAUCCCGUCUUUGAUUGGCUGUAUUGCUUGUAAUUACGAAAAUGUAGUCAAAGAGUCAGGUUGUUUGGGAAUGCAGCCUAAAAUGGGUGGUAAAUUUCAUCUAAAGCUAAAUAUGGCCACGAGACCGAUAGCGAACAAGUACCGUGAGGGAAAGAUGAGAAGAACUUUGAAAAGAGGUUGAAAAGUGCGUGAAACUGUUAAAAGGGAAGCGAAUAAAGUUGUGAUUUUGCAGUUUCAGCUGGCUGUUCAUUAUUUGUUACGAAUGUGUAAAGGAUAGAGUCUUUUGGACCUCAUUUUUUAUUCAAACGUUUACAAUGGUGGUUUGGCAGGUGAAACGGGUCAACAUUAGUUUUUGUGCUAGGUUUGAUUGGUUUGAGGAAGGUGAUCUGAACAUUUCGGUGUUUGGAAGCUUAUAGCCUUUAAUCUAUGACCUGGUCGGGACUAAGGAAUCAAUGCGCAAGCGUUGGGUGUUGGCAAAGCGACUUUAUCCGACCCGUCUUGAAACACGGACCAAGGAGUCUAACAUGUAUGCGAGUCUUUGGGUGAUCAAAACCCGACAGGGCGAAAUGAAAGUAAAGAUGUCUUUGGACAUUUAGGUGGGAUGUUUAUCCUUUGGAUAAAUGGCACCAUCGGCCGAUCCGAAUAGUUGCGUCUCGUCGUAAUCUUGAAGGAAUUGAGCUAGAGCAUACCUGUUAGGACCCGAAAGAUGGUGAACUAUGCCUGAAUAGGGUGAAGCCUGGGGAAACUCAGGUGGAAGCUCGCAGCGAUUCUGACGUGCAAAUCGAUCGUCAAAUUUGGGUAUAAGGGCGAAAGACUAAUCGAACCAUCUAGUAGCUGGUUCCCUC